CGAAACAAUCAAGAAAAGCCCGACCUUGCGGAGAAACCCGCCCGAUCUUUUCUCCUCGCUUGAAUUCUCCGGAACUCCCAAGAAUCCCGCCGCGUCGAGACCGGACGAGGACGAUGGCCUGCAAACCCAUCGCCAACAGGCUCGGGAAGGAGGCGGGCCUCCACCCCGAGGUUCCGCCGCUUCAUCGUUACCCUCGAUCAGGUAAAAAGCUGAGCUUCCCCGUGUUACCGUCGGAAAAGUAUUGCUGGUGUAGGAGAUGAGCAUGCAGGUCUUCCCGACUGCCCCGUCGCCGACCGUCACGCAUUUGAUGAACCUUGCCGUGCUCAUCGUUGUAAUGGCACUGGCAUGUAGGAAUCCUUGCCUUGCUCGUGGGUGGGGCUUUACAAUGGUUAUUGGAGGCAACCAGGUGAAAAGGCCCAGCCUCUCGACGAACAUGUGAACGGGUCGGAUCGAAGCCAUCACGGCCCGAUGCGGUAAUGGGACGCCUCACCAAGUCCUCGUAGAUAAAUGGAGGGUAGGAUACCUGUUUUGUCCCUAUAAGAAUCCCCUUAUGAUUCAUCUCCGGCCGCCGAGAGGCCUCCGACGUCUCGGAGAUCGAGAAGCGCUACGAUCUUGGAGGGGCCUCAAGGACAAGGCGCAGGUUUCUUCUCCUCCUCCUCCUCCUCCUCCUCCUCCUUUGUCUCGCCAUCCUCUUCUUUUUUCUAGAGUUUCGAGUCGGUUUCUUUUUUUUUCCGGUUGGUUUUCGAGGAAUGGCAGGCAGCAUGCGGUAAGCCUACGAAGGUGCAAACGGAGAGCAAGUCACGCCGUGGUUUUUGAAAUUAUUGUCGACCCUCGCCAGCAAGUCCACGACGGCCUGGUUCGAUUUCAUCGAAGAAGACGAGGCUGGAGUCGGUCCCUCGCCCUUUUUCGUUUUGUUUCUGCUUCUCUUGCUUCUUCUUGGCAAUGGAAUCUGCUCACCCCAUCGUCGUUAGGGAUUGAAGGUAUGAGACAGUGGUUCCUAACAUCAUGUGAUUAGUGAUAAUUUUGCUUCCUUAUGUGCCCAAAGAAGUCACUGGAAAACCUUUCCCCACCUUCUCCUCCCCUCUUUUUUUUUUUUUUUGUUUGUUUGUUUGUUUCCGAGUCAGAAGGUUUUGAGGGUUUAUUCUCUUUGGUAUUUGUUAAAUAUAAAAGUAGAGGGUGUUGUUGGUACGGCAUUUCUAUGCAAAGAAACAAACAUGUGAGAUCAAUAUAUGCCAAGUGUUGUCCAUUUUUUUCUAUUUUGAAUACAGCUUGACAUGCUCCUGUUGGUAUUGAA